UUGAGAGUAGUCUGGGGAAACAUACCUAUGAUUUCAGAGAAAAUCUUAUUUUCCUGAUAUACUUGUUGCUCUGCUUCUUCGUGCCUGAAAUGCAGACAAAAUGCCUGGAGCUGCAGCAGCCAUCUUGACUGUCAGAGAAUUGUGCUGCACAUUUAUAUGGCUUGGAAAACUGUCAUCAAAUCUUAACCCAAAGGAUUUCAGAGGACUGUUGGCUGGAAUAAUCCAUGAAGAUAAAUGUCUACAAAUGAUUUGACUCGUGAUUGAAUCUUUCUAUUGUCAAUUUAUCUCAGGAUGCAUUUGGAUUUUAUUUUGGAAGACAGUUGUUAAAUAAGCCUGAGCAAGUAAUACAAAUGGUGAAAUGUACAUCUCUGAUGGCAAUAGGGAACUUUGAGUUUCUAAUCCUUAGGAACUAGAGGCCGUUGUUCUGCAUUGGAGAAGUGAUCUUAUUGCAGAGGUAUUUAAAAAUAUGUAGUGGAUGGGCAUUUGGUCCAGCAGUUAAGUACCCACAUCCCACCUCAAAGUACCUGAAUUUGAUAUCCAGCUCUGGUUCCUGACUCCAGCUUUUUGCCAAUGCAAAUCUUGGAAGUCAAGGUGAUGGCUAAGUAAUUGGGUUCCUGUCACCCACAUGAGAGAUCUGCAUUGAGGGACUGAGUGACUUGGAUUGAGGGACUCAGCUCCCAGUACUGCUAGCUUUGGCACUCUGCCAGAGCUGUUGCAGGCACUUGAAGUGUGAAUCAGCAGACAGGAAGAAUCUCUGCUUGUCUGUUUCUGCCUUUCAGAGAAAUAAAUUUUAAAUAGUAUAUGGAAAGUGAAAUCAAAAGACAUGUUUAUUAAUAAAUGAAUCAAAACAGAGAGUAUUGAUGAAGGUUGACCAAGGUUUUGGAGCUGUCUCAAUCUGGUUAAAUAGUUCUACUUGCAGAGCAUGUGAAAUCAAGUCAGUCUCAACCUCCACACUGAAUAUCGGC